UUUUUUUUCUCAAAAAAGUUUCAAUUUUAUUUAGCUUUGUGACUUUGUACUUGUGCCUUCAACACUUUCACAACGAUUUUCUGCUCCCCGAUAAGGAAAGCACGCUUGAUCCUGCCACGAACACAUUUAGCACACAUGGAACCACCAUAGGCCCUGCUGACAUGUUUCUUUCUUUUUGACAAUUUCAUAAGAACUUUAGGUCUUACAGCACGAACCCCUCGAAGUCUUCCUGGGCACAUGCCACUUGCAGAUCUUGGUGCUUUCCCAACCUUCUUGGUAUAAAGGUAAACAAUUCUAUUACCAGGGGUUCGGGGCAGAUCAAGCGUGCUUUCCUUAUUGAGGAGCAGAAAAUCGUUGUGAAAGUGUUGAAGGCACAAGCAGAG
rnacentral:lncRNA from 10 species